UCGAUCGUGGUGUAACGGUAGCAUCCGAGUCUUCCAAACUCAGGGUACGAGUAUCUCCUUCGGAGACGCUUCGCGAACGAAUCUCGUCGGUCGAUCCA
rnacentral:tRNA from 1 species